AACGAACGCUGGCGGCAUGCCUAACACAUGCAAGUCGAACGAGACCUUCGGGUCUAGUGGCGCACGGGUGCGUAACGCGUGGGAACCUUCCCUUAGGGUCGGAAUAACUCCCCGAAAGGGGUGCUAAUACCGGAUAAUGUCUUCUGACCAAAGAUUUAUCUCCUUUGGAUGGGCCCGCGUUGGAUUAGCUAGUUGGUAGGGUAAAAGCCUACCAAGGCGACGAUCCAUAGCUGGUCUGAGAGGAUGAUCAGCCACACUGGGACUGAGACACGGCCCAGACUCCUACGGGAGGCAGAAGUGGGGAAUAUUGGACAAUGGGCGAGAGACUGAUGCAGCAAUGCCGCGUGAGUGAUGAAGGCCUUAGGGUUGUAAAGCUCUUUUACCCGGGAUGAUAAUGACAGUACCGGGAGAAUAAGCUCCGGCUAACUCCGUG
rnacentral:rRNA from 1 species